rnacentral:antisense_RNA from 1 species
CUUGAUCGACCCCAGCAGCAGCGGUUCGGCGCGGUCCUGGCCGUAGGUGGCGAGCAGCGCCUGGGCCUC